rnacentral:rRNA from 1 species
GACGAACGCUGGCGGCGUGCUUAACACAUGCAAGUCGAACGAUGAAGCCUAGCUUGCUAGGUGGAUUAGUGGCGAACGGGUGAGUAAUACGUGAGUAACCUACCUUUAACUCUGGGAUAAGCCCGGGAAACUGGGUCUAAUACCGGAUACGACCAAUCUCCGCAUGGGGUGUUGGUGGAAAGCGUUAUGUAGUGGUUAUAGAUGGGCUCACGGCCUAUCAGCUUGUUGGUGAGGUAACGGCUCACCAAGGCGACGGCGGGUAGCCGGCCUGAGAGGGUGACCGGCCACACUGGGACUGAGACACGGCCCAGACUCCUACGGGAGGCAGCAGUGGGGAAUAUUGCACAAUGGGCGCAAGCCUGAUGCAGCGACGCCGCGUGAGUGAAGAAGGUUUUCGGAUCGUAAAGCUCUGUUGUAAGUCAAGAACGAGUGUGAGAGUGGAAAGUUCACACUGUGACGGUAGCUUACCAGAAAGGGACGGCUAACUACGUGCCAGCAGCCGCGGUAAUACGUAGGUCCCGAGCGUUGUCCGGAUUUAUUGGGCGUAAAGCGAGCGCAGGCGGUUUGAUAAGUCUGAAGUUAAAGGCUGUGGCUCAACCAUAGUUCGCUUUGGAAACUGUCAAACUUGAGUGCAGAAGGGGAGAGUGGAAUUCCAUGUGUAGCGGUGAAAUGCGUAGAUAUAUGGAGGAACGCCGGUGGCGGAAGCGGCUCUCUGGUCUGUAACUGACGCUGAGGCUCGAAAGCGUGGGGAGCGAACAGG